UAGCUAGCCAGCCUCGCAUGAUGAAUCUUGACUCUCUGAGUGGCAGCUGUGAUGAGCUUUCCUGACCCUCUAAGAAGUUGACUGAAGAGGCUUAUCUUCU